rnacentral:rRNA from 1 species
CACGUAGGCACCAAGCGUUGUCCGGAUUUAUUGGGCGUAAAGAGCUCGUAGGCGGUUCGGUAAGUCGGGUGUGAAAACUUUGGGCUCAACCCAAAGCGUGCACUCGAUACUGCCAUGACUAGAGUUCGGUAGGGGAGUGGGGAAUUCCUAGUGUAGCGGUGAAAUGCGCAGAUAUUAGGAGGAACACCGGUGGCGAAGGCGCCACUCUGGGCCGAAACUGACGCUGAGGAGCGGAAAGCGUGGGUAGCAAACGAGGAUUAUGAA